GACGAACGCUGGCGGCGUGCUUAACACAUGCGAGUCGAACGGAAAGGCCUGCUUUCCCUUGUGGGUUGCGGGUACUCGAGUGGCGAACGGGUGAGUAACACGUGAGUGAUCUGCCCCCAACUUGGGUAUAAGCCUGGGAAACUGGGUCUAAUUCCCGAUAGGACUGUAGGGUGGUGCCUGUGGUGGAAAACGAUGUUCUAGGGGUUGGGGAUGAGCUCGCGGUCUAUCAGCUUGUUGGUGGGGUAAUGGCCUACCAAGGCGGCGACGGGUAGCCGGCCAGGGAAGGCGGGCGGGGACAGUGGACCUGAGAUACGGGGGAGACUACUACGGGAGGCAGCAGUGGGGAGUAUUGCACAAGGGGAGGAAGCCUAAUGCCGGGACGCUGAGUGGGCGACGACGGGCUUCGGGUGAUGACCUCCUUUCGGCCGCGAGGAUGCCACCUGGUUGGAACGGUGGUGACGGUAGUGGUAGAAGAGGCACCGGCUAACUACGUG
rnacentral:rRNA from 1 species